AGAGUUUGAUCAUGGCUCAGAUUGGACGCUGGCGGCAGGCCUAACACAUGCAAGUCGAACGGUAACAGGAAACAGCUUGCUGUUUCGCUGACGAGUGGCGGACGGGUGAGUAAUGUCUGGGAAACUGCCUGAUGGAGGGGGAUAACUACUGGAAACGGUAGCUAAUACCGCAUAACGUCGCAAGACCAAGAGGGGGACCUUCGGGCCUCUUGCCAUCAGAUGUGCCCAGAUGGGAUUAGCUAGUAGGUGGGGUAACGGCUCACCUAGGCGACGAUCCCUAGCUGGUCUGAGAGGAUGACCAGCCACACUGGAACUGAGACACGGUCCAGACUCCUACGGGAGGCAGCAGUGGGGAAUAUUGCACAAUGGGCGCAAGCCUGAUGCAGCCAUGCCGCGUGUAUGAAGAAGGCCUUCGGGUUGUAAAGUACUUUCAGCGGGGAGGAAGGGAGUAAAGUUAAUACCUUUGCUCAUUGACGUUACCCGCAGAAGAAGCACCGGCUAACUCCGUGCCAGCAGCCGCGGUAAUACGGAGGGUGCAAGCGUUAAUCGGAAUUACUGGGCGUAAAGCGCACGCAGGCGGUUUGUUAAGUCAGAUGUGAAAUCCCCGGGCUCAACCUGGGAACUGCAUCUGAUACUGGCAAGCUUGAGUCUCGUAGAGGGGGGUAGAAUUCCAGGUGUAGCGGUGAAAUGCGUAGAGAUCUGGAGGAAUACCGGUGGCGAAGGCGGCCCCCUGGACGAAGACUGACGCUCAGGUGCGAAAGCGUGGGGAGCAAACAGGAUUAGAUACCCUGGUAGUCCACGCCGUAAACGAUGUCGACUUGGAGGUUGUGCCCUUGAGGCGUGGCUUCCGGAGCUAACGCGUUAAGUCGACCGCCUGGGGAGUACGGCCGCAAGGUUAAAACUCAAAUGUAUUGACGGGGGCCCGCACAAGCGGUGGAGCAUGUGGUUUAAUUCGAUGCAACGCGAAGAACCUUACCUGGUCUUGACAUCCACGGAAGUUUUCAGAGAUGAGAAUGUGCCUUCGGGAACCGUGAGACAGGUGCUGCAUGGCUGUCGUCAGCUCGUGUUGUGAAAUGUUGGGUUAAGUCCCGCAACGAGCGCAACCCUUAUCCUUUGUUGCCAGCGGUCCGGCCGGGAACUCAAAGGAGACUGCCAGUGAUAAACUGGAGGAAGGUGGGGAUGACGUCAAGUCAUCAUGGCCCUUACGACCAGGGCUACACACGUGCUACAAUGGCGCAUACAAAGAGAAGCGACCUCGCGAGAGCAAGCGGACCUCAUAAAGUGCGUCGUAGUCCGGAUUGGAGUCUGCAACUCGACUCCAUGAAGUCGGAAUCGCUAGUAAUCGUGGAUCAGAAUGCCACGGUGAAUACGUUCCCGGGCCUUGUACACACCGUCCGUCACACCAUGGGAGUGGGUUGCAAAAGAAGUAGGUAGCUUAACCUUCGGGAGGGCGCUUACCACUUUGUGAUUCAUGACUGGGGUGAAGUCGUAACAAGGUAACCGUAGGGGAACCUGCGGUUG
rnacentral:rRNA from 1 species